rnacentral:rRNA from 1 species
AACAAACGCUGGCGGCGUGCCUAACACAUGCAAGUCGUACGUGAAAAUCCACUUCGGUGGAUGAGUAAAGUGGCGCACGGGUGAGUAACGCGUGGAUAAUCUGCCCUUUAGUCUGGGAUAACUCAUCGAAAGGUGGGCUAAUACCAGAUAAUGCUGUUUUUACUUCGGUGAAGCAGCCAAAGGGGGCCUCUAUUUAUAAGCUUCCGCUUAAGGAUGAGUCCGCGUACCAUUAGCUAGUUGGUAGGGUAAAAGCCUACCAAGGCGACGAUGGUUAGCUGGUCUGAGAGGAUGAUCAGCCACACUGGAACUGAGACACGGUCCAGACACCUACGGGUGGCAG